UUGUUAUUAAUUUUAUUUUAACUAAACAAAAUUGAGAAAUUCUCCUUAACAAAGUUGCACAGUACAGAAGAUUUGCAAUACCAACUGCCAGCAAGUUCAGGAUUCAGAAUAAUAAAUUUCAUAUGCAAAUGUUUUGUUGUGAGGUAUUUUCUCAACAUGUCCUCCACAUUUUUGUGUAAACAUUGUGAGCCAUCCCGUUCCCGUAUAUAUUCUGUGUUACCGAGAACGAUGAAUGGAGAAGAAUUGCAGUUGGUUUGCUCUCUUGUCCCAGUUCCUUUACAGUUUCCAUCCUAUAACAGGAAGAAUACUGCAACUCUCUGAUACUACUGAGCAACAGUUUCAAAUUAUAAACGUAUACAUUUAUACAAAAGGAUAUACCAACUCCUUACAGAAAAAAAAACAUACCAACAUGUAUAACCUACGUAUUAUAACAUCUGACAAAGUAAUCCAAGGAAAUCCCAAAAGUAAUUGCAUGUCCUGAUUAUCAAUUUCUAUAUUUGUCAACAUAUCCUGAGCCUCAAUAGUUCGCCUGGGAAACGAAUACAAUGUAUAGAAUUGAGUCAGAAAUAUAAAGGGAGCAAAUAUCGGAAUACCAUCAUAAAAGGACAAGCUAGAAGAAACAUAGAAAAAACCGAAACUGCAUAUAAAUGAAAAAUGAAAAUACAGAAGAAGUAAAAAAAAGUGAACAAAUAAAAAAAAGAAAACAGAAAAAAAAAAAAACAAUUUGACAUACAUAAAUCAUUUGAGCAAAUCUUGACCAUUUGUCAGUAUGUUUUCAGAUUUUCUCCUGAGAUUUAUCAUCAUCCGUUUGGUACACAAUAGUGUUGGCGUUGUGUUGUCCUCCUGAUGGUCAUUUUCAUGUUCACCCCUCGCCCUUACCGCCUCAAGGUUCAGGAAUUCCGCUUUUUUUCCCCACUCUCUUUUCUGUUCAAAUCGCAUCACACCGAAAAGGAUGGAUGACCAACUGAUAUGGAGGAAGGACACGGCCGCCCUAUUUGUUGUCGUGAGUUUCUAUCUAUGUGCUGAUGAUAUUCAUGUAGGAUGUUGGUGUUGGCGACAAACAAGCAAAUAUAUAGAUAGAUAUAGGUACCUCUGAAAGGCAGGUACCGUAUCUACCUUCCUACUAAAAUGAACAUAUAUUCUUACCGUGCAAACACUAGAGGCCUGGUUCAGAAUUCAGCAUCAGACACCUGCAUAGGUAUAUUGUAAGAAUUAAUAGCUGGGAUGGGAGCAAUAUUCCGCUAUAGUCGGAAGAAAUGGAAGCAUAUCAUAAAGCCAUAGAGGUGUCUAUCAAACACGGAAUCGGCAUUUUGGAGCUGUCAAAUAGAGUGAUAAUGUUCAGCCUUCAUUGCCCUGCAUUAUUGAAGGAAGUGAUAGUAAAAGAAAUGUGAGGACAUUGGAA